GGGGCAAACUUAUAGAAAUAUAAGGACGCAAAACUUGGAGUCUAAAGCAUAUAAAAGAUAUGUUAUGAUAGUUCGGUCGC
rnacentral:ncRNA from 1 species